rnacentral:rRNA from 1 species
GGGAACUGCAUCUGAUACUGUUNAGCUAGAGUAGNUGAGAGGGAAGUAGAAUUCCAGGUGUAGCGGUGAAAUGCGUAGAGAUCUGGAGGAAUACCGAUGGCGAAGGCAGCUUCCUGGCAUCAUACUGACACUGAGGCUCGAAAGCGUGGGUAGCAAACAGGAUUAGAUACCCUGGUAGUCCACGCCGUAAACGAUGUCUACUAGUCGUUGGGUCCCNUGAGGACUUAGUGACGCAGCUAACGCAAUAAGUAGACCGCCUGGGGAGUACGGCCGCAAGGUUAAAACUCAAAUGAAUUGNCGGGGGCCCGCACNAGCGGUGGAGCAUGUGGUUUANUUNGAUGCAACGCGAAGAACCUUACCUGGUCUUGACAUACACAGAAUCUUGUAGAGAUACGAGAGUGCCUUCGGGAAUUGUGAUACAGGUGCUGCAUGGCUGUCGUCAGCUNGUGUNGUGAGAUGUUGGGUUAAGUCCCGCAACGAGCGCAACCCUUGUCCUUAGUUACCAGCGGGUUAAGCCGGGAACUCUAAGGAUACUGCCAGUGACAAACUGGAGGAAGGCGGGGACGACGUCAAGUCAUCAUGGCCCUUACGACCAGGGCUACACACGUGCUACAAUGGUAGGUACAGAGGGCAGCUACACAGCGAUGUGAUGCGAAUCUCAAAAAGCCUAUCGUAGUCCAGAUUGGAGUCUGCAACUCGACUCCAUGAAGUAGGAAUCGCUAGUAAUCGCGGAUCAGAAUGCCGCGGUGAAUACGUUCCCGGGCCUUGUACACACCGCCCGUCACACCAUGGGAGUUGAUUGCACCAGAAGUGGUUAGCCGA